UACGGAGGAUCCAAGCGUUAUCCGGAUUUAUUGGGUUUAAAGGGUGCGUAGGCGGAGUAGUAAGUCAGUGGUGAAAGCCUGUCGCUUAACGACAGAACUGCCAUUGAUACUGCUAAUCUUGAGUAUAAUUGAAGUGGGCGGAAUGUGUCGUGUAGCGGUGAAAUGCUUAGAUAUGACACAGAACACCGAUUGCGAAGGCAGCUCACUAAACUAUAACUGACGCUGAGGCACGAAAGCGUGGGGAUCAAACAGG
rnacentral:rRNA from 1 species